AUUGAACGCUGGCGGCAGGCCUAACACAUGCAAGUCGAGCGGAUGAAGGAAGCUUGCUCCUGUCUUCCGCUGCGGACGGGUGAGUGAUUCCUACGUGUCUACCUUAUCUUUGGGACUAACGUCCCUUCACGGACGCUAAUCCCACAUACGUCCUUAUGUUGAACGUGAUGGUUCUUUGGACCUCGCCCUUUCUGCUGAUCCUAAUUCGUAUUAGCUAGUUGGUUUGGUAAGGGCUUACCAAGGCGACGAUCCGUAACUGGUCUGAGAGGAUGAUCGGUCACACUGGAAAUGAGACACGGUCCAGACUCCUACGGGAGGCAGCAGUAGGGAAUAUUGGGCAAUGGGCGAAAGCCUGAUCGAGCCAAGCCGCGUGUGUGAAGAAGGUCUUCGGAUUGUAAAGCACUGUAAGUAGGGAGGAAGAGAAGUAAGUUAAAACAUGGAUGUCUUGACGGUACCAAAAGAAAAAGCAACGGCUAACUUCGUG
rnacentral:rRNA from 1 species